rnacentral:rRNA from 1 species
GAUGGGUAGGGGUCCUCAUCGCCGACUCCUCCCUUUGUUGUUGUACUACCUUGUUGCUUUGGCGGGACCGCUCGGUCUCGAGCCGCUGGGGACUCGUCCCAGGCGAGCGCCCGGCGGAGUUAAACCUGAUCUUGUUAUUUAACCGGUCGUCUGAGUUAAAAUUUUGAGUACCCCAAAACUUUCCCCACGGAUCUCUUGGUUCUCGCAUAUUUACUCUCCGCCUCCGGUUUGGUCCUGCUUGUGAAUUGCAUAAUUCGCUGAAUCAUAAAAUCUUUGAACGCACUUUGUCCUCCUUGGUAUUCCGAGGGGCAUGCCUGUUCGAGCGUCAUUACACCAGAGGAACUAUGCUUGGUAUUGGGCGUCGUCCUUAGUUGGGCGCGCCUUAAAGACCUCGGCGAGGCCACUCCGGCUUUAGGCGUAGUAGAAUUUAUUCGAACGUCUGUCAAAGGAGAGGAACUCUGCCGACUGAAACCUUUAUUUUUCUAGGUUGACCUCGGAUCAGGUAGGGAUACCCGCUGAACUUAAGCAUAUCAAUAAGCGGAGGAA